CCCAGAUAAUGGCACUCUCAAACAGGUUUCCAGGUUGUUUGAAAGGCUGUUUCUUGGUC
rnacentral:pre_miRNA from 1 species